UAGAGUUUGAUCCUGGCUCAGGACGAACGCUGGCGGCGUGCUUAACACAUGCAAGUCGAACGAUGAACUCCAGCUUGCUGGGGGGAUUAGUGGCGAACGGGUGAGUAACACGUGAGUAACCUGCCCUUGACUCUGGGAUAAGCGUUGGAAACGACGUCUAAUACCGGAUACGACCAGCCCCGGCAUCGGGUGUUGGUGGAAAGAAUUUUGGUCAAGGAUGGACUCGCGGCCUAUCAGGUAGUUGGUGAGGUAAUGGCUCACCAAGCCUACGACGGGUAGCCGGCCUGAGAGGGUGACCGGCCACACUGGGACUGAGACACGGCCCAGACUCCUACGGGAGGCAGCAGUGGGGAAUAUUGCACAAUGGGCGAAAGCCUGAUGCAGCAACGCCGCGUGAGGGACGACGGCCUUCGGGUUGUAAACCUC
rnacentral:rRNA from 1 species